GGGAAAGUAGCUCAGCUGGUUAGAGUGCCACCUCGACAAGGUGGAAGUCGCUGGUUCGACCCCAGUCUUUCCUA
rnacentral:tRNA from 1 species